rnacentral:ncRNA from 1 species
CAACCCAUGCAGUGAUGUAUGGCUGAACUGUCAGAAGUCAGCAGAGGUCAUAGUACCAUAGCGGAUAUAUACGCUGUGGGAAGGAC